CGACCCCAAGUCAGGCGGGAUCACCCGCUGAGUUUAAGCAUAUCAAUAAGCGGAGGAAAACAAAAUAACAAGGAUUCCCUUAGUAACGGCGAGCGAACCGGGAAGAGCCCAGCUUGAAAAUCGGACGUCUUCGGCGUUCGAAUUGUAGUCUGGAGAAGCGUCCUCAGCGACGGACCGGGCCCAAGUUCCCUGGAAAGGGGCGCCAGAGAGGGUGAGAGCCCCGUCGUGCCCGGACCCUGUCGCACCACGAGGCACUGUCUACGAGUCGGGUUGUUUGGGAAUGCAGCCCCAAUCGGGCGGUAAAUACCGUCCAAGGCUAAAUAUGAGCGAGAGACCGAUAGCGAACAAGUACCGCGAGGUAAAGAUGAAAAGGAAUUUGAAAAGAGAGUCAAAGAGUGCUUGAAAUUGUCGGGAGGGAAGCGGAUGGGGGCCGGCGAUGCGUCCUGGUCGGAUGCGGAACGGAGCAAUCCGGUCUGCCGAUCGAUUCGGGGCGUGGACCGACGUGGAUUAAGGUGGUGACCUAAGCCCGGGCUUUCGUUACACCCGCGGAGACGUCGCUGCCUUAAUCAUGGUCUGCAGCACGCGCCUCACGGCGUUCCUCAGCAUCUGCGUGCUCAGGCCGUCGGCCUGUGGGCUCCCCAUUCGACCCGUCUUGAAACAAAGACCAAGGAGUCUGACAUGUGUGCGAGUCAACGGGUGAGUAAACCUGUAAGGCGUAAGGAAGCUGAUUGGCUGGAUCCCUCGCGGGUGCACUGUUGCAGGCAGGGAUCCUGGCUACUCAAUGGCUUGACUGAGGUUCACGAGCUCGGACUGGACAGGACGAACGAAUGGCCACGGGAGCGGCUAGUCGGACGCGAUGGAGAGGGAGAUGGCCGAUCUGGUUCCUGAAACGAAAGAGAUGUUAUGAACAAGUGUGGAUUGCUAGGAACCAAGAGGCCUGUCCGUGGCCCAUAGAGAGAGAGAGUAUCCGCGGCCCAAGAAGAGAGAGAGUCGGCCGCCUCUAGCAUUAGGAUGUUUCCAUUUAUCUAUCCAUGUUUAUCUUUAAUAUGUUUUCCUUUUUACUCUAGGAUUAUGAUUUGGAUACUUUCCUUUUCUCUACCCCUUGUAUCCCCUAUAUAAGGGAACACUUUGAUUCAGAAAUAAGAUAUACAGAACACGAUUUCAUCUCUUGUUUCACAACACGUUAUCAGCACGAUAGCCUCUGAACCCUGAGACCAAAACCGAAACCCUAAAAGUCUAAUCCGGCGAUCCAUAACCAAAAACCAUCAACACUAACCUGUUCUUAACUCAUCAAGAACUCAGGAGAUCAAUCUCAGCCUCUCAGAUCACGUUCCAGACCGAGUAGAACUUCUGUCCAGCUCGCGAUCGAACCCGAACCCCGCGACCAGUCCGAGACAAUCCGAUACCCGUCCAGCUCGCAGCCGAGACACCUCCAGCCGCGAUAGACCUCAUCCGCGACCCGAUAGGAGGCAGAGACCGUCCGAUCAUCUCAGCUCGAAGUCUCUUUCAAUCUUUGGUGGUCCGGUUCUAAAUCCACUACGAAACUGAGGUAUAAACACAAUCUGAGAACCUAGGGUAAAAGAACCCUAACUCCAUCAUUAUGGAAACCAUGAAACCCUAAAAGAAACUUAAGACUAAAAUUGACAAUCUCUAAGAACUAGAAACAUGAAUCGAUUCCUAUUAGAACCUGUCUUGUAUGUUGAUUGAUUGAAUCUGAAAUUGGCUAA
rnacentral:ncRNA from 1 species